ensembl:lncRNA
UUUUAAAAUUUGCUCCUUAAAGGGAGUGGAGUCAGAAUUCAGCCCAGUGCUUAACAGGUCCAAAAAAAUGUUUGUCAAACUUUAGCUUUUAAGGGUAGGUUCUUUUAAUGUCAGAUUCUUAAGUUUCAGUAUCUUCUGGACCACUGUUUAUUCUGCUAUUUAAUUUUCUUAUUUUUGGCGGCCCUGGGUCUUCAUUGCUGCACGCAGGCUUUCUCUGGUUGCAGAGAGCAGGGGCUACUCUCCAGCUGCUGUGCUCAGCUUCUCAUUGCAGUGACUUCUGUUGUGGACCACAGCUCUAGGGCGUAAANNNNNNNGCAGCUGUGGGGCUCCACUUUCAGGCCGAUUUUUUCAGUAAAUAUUACUAUAAUACUACACCAUCCCUUGUUGGUUGAAUCUUCAGAAUGUAAAACUGUGGAUCUGAAGGGUGUGCUAUAAAGUCUCACUUGGAUUUUCGUCCUUUUGAUUGGACAGGUUAGGUGCCCCCACCCCCACUGUUGUUUAAGGGUCCCCCACAUGAGUAGAUACAUUAGCUCCUGUGUUGAAAAAUACCAUAGAGAAAAUAACUUUGAUUAUAGGUGUCUUCUGAUUGUCAAAAAUUGUGCUGUUCCUCCACUUGGUGUGAACAAAAAUGGCCUCGCUUGACCAAGAUCUGACAGAGACAGAGGAAGAUCUGACAGGAAGAGUAGAUGCAGCUGUAUGUGGAAAGGACACAAACUGAAAUCGAAAGCAAUAGUGAACAGCCCGAAAAUGAAGCCUUCCAGGGACAGAAAGGAAGCACUCUGUGCAAUUUUGCUGGGCUUGGCAGUGAUGCAAGGAUUUCAGGUAAGUCUGACUCUAGUUUUGAAAGGGCGUGCAUGUUCAGGGAGGUUUGCAGGAGUUUUUUUUGUGCAUGCAAAGAAUCGUGUGCUAGAAAAACACACGGGGCUAGGCACGGAAGCAUCCUGUGCUGUGUCAAGCCAUCCACACCGGCCACAUCAGCCUUGACAGACAGAGCCUCAAGCUUUACAUCAGGCGCAUGUUAGCGACCUGCCUGCCCUGAUUGAUUCAGACAACGAUGAGCUGUUAAAAGGUGACCUUUUCCUGUCUUUCUUGCGCCCUGUGUCCUGUACCUCCUGCCACCCCAGCCUCCGAGGAGUAAGCCUCACACCCUGCCAUCAGCGCCGCUCAGCCUCCCAGGGUGCUGGCUAUCCUCCCAAUGCUGGUGGGUGAAAUCACGCAGCGUAUAUGUUAUUUCUACUUUGUACAGGCUGUGUCUUUUUCAUAUCAUUCCUGCUUUUACUAUAUGGUAGUGUUAUUUAACAUUUUAUGUGCUAUUUUGUAUGAAUUGGUAGGUUAUUUGGGGGGUCUGAGAACACUCAAACAUUUUUUUGUAUGAAUUAAUGAUAGUUGC